rnacentral:rRNA from 1 species
UCUACGGGAGGCAGCAGUGGGGAAUAUUGGGCAAUGGGGGAAACCCUGACCCAGCAACGCCGCGUGAAGGAAGAAGGCCUUCGGGUUGUAAACUUCUUUUACCAGGGACGAAGAACGUGACGGUACCUGGAGAAAAAGCAACGGCUAAUUACGUGCCAGCAGCCGCGGUAAU